AAUUGUUUUUCGGUUAUGCAUUUGCGUUAUUCCUUCUGCAAAUCUACUGCAAGAGUUGAGUACAAUCAUAAGGAACCAGAAACACUAAUUGAAGGUUUUAUAACUGCAGCAAAUUGUAGAGACGUUAUCCUUAAUCCGAAAUGAGGAUGCAUGGCAGCCAUUUGUGAUUAAUCUAAGACUAGGAUUAACUGAAAGAUUGAUCAAAGCAAGUCCGCCGCAGAAGAAAGUCCGUUCAGUUGUAAGCGAAGCUUCAUUAAUGAUGAUGACAAUGGGAUCAAGCACCUGUUGGAGCAGCCAAACUCAGAACCGUUUCAGUCUAAUUAACUCGGAGCAAUAGCAUAUCAACAAGACUAGGAGACAAACUUUCUGUUAUAACUGCCACUGAUUGAUUCUUUUGAAGUCUCUGGUGCUUCUUGAUUAGUUUGGUUUGGAGUUAGCAUCAGAGCAGCACCAUAGGAGAUGAGCAACCAGAGCACAAGUGUAAGAAUCCCGUAACCUGAGUGAGGGUGUCAAUGCAUCUUUUUGCUUUCUUCUCU